rnacentral:rRNA from 1 species
UAAGGAAUUUUCGGCAAUGGGGGCAACCCUGACCGAGCAACGCCGCGUGAGUGAUGAAGGUCUUCGGAUCGUAAAACUCUGUUGUAAAGGAAGAAUGUCAUAUAUAGGAAAUGAUAUAUGAGUGACGGUACUUUACUAGAAAGUCACGGCUUACUACGUGCCAGCAGCCGCGGUAAUACGUAGGUGGCAAGCGUUAUCCGGAUUUAUUGGGCGUAAAGGGUGCGCAGGCGGUCUGUUAAGUUUGGUGUGAAAGCGUGGGGCUCAACCCCAUACAGCAUCGAAUACUGGCAGACUAGAGUGCAGAAGAGGGUAAUGGAACUCCAUGUGUAGCGGUAAAAUGCGUAGAUAUAUGGAAGAACACCAGCGGCGAAGGCGGUUACCUGGUCUGUAACUGACGCUCAGGCACGAAAGCGUGGGGAGCAAAUAGGA